UACAAGCUGGUUACCGGUGACAGA
rnacentral:piRNA from 1 species